rnacentral:ribozyme from 1 species
CAAAAAAACCGCGGUUCCGCGCGGGUUCGCCUUUAUUCGAUUCGUCGAUGAAGACGUAGCUAAAGUU